CAUAACAUUAAGAGUUAUUUUUUUUAUGUAUUAUCACAAACUUAGUUUGUGGUAUUAUAAAAUACAUAUCUGUACACCAGAAGCUAAGUAUUUACCUUUUACACAUUUACCUUUAGGAAACAAAACACAGUUUCGAGAAAAACGAAUUUAAAGUUCUUUUUUGAAGUUGUUUCCUAAUUACUCGGUUAUUUUUAAACCUCUAAUUGUAAUAUUUGGUAUAUGAAUAUAUUUUCGACUUAAUGAGGUAAAAAAUGAUAGAAUCACAAAAAGUUAAGUAAUUUAUAGAGUGCCUAUAUAUCUCAAAUAUGCCAAUUUUAUACUUACAUCGCUUGUAGGGUACAGAUAUACAGGGUGGCGCACCUCAUUCACCUCGGUCGAUUAUACAAAAACGGAAAGAUGUAGAAACAAAGUAUUUUAUAGGUAUAUGCCUUGAUUAUGUAUAAAUAGAUGUACAAUGAGGGCUUAGUACAAGCCCGUCUUCUAGGUGGCGCCUUGCCCGUUCUGAAUUUUUGUAUUCCCCUACGAUUUUCUUUGAGGGGAAUCCGUUAAACCCGCCCAUCGUUCAAAAAUGGAAGGGCGCGAGGUCACAUCUAUUGGGCCACUUAUUAGCACGUUUCACCCAUGUUUUACGAAAAUAGCUUUAUCCUUGUUUGUUUCAACUGUGACAAGAAAAAAGGAAAAAAAGUUAUAUUCGCUUCUAAAUUCGGCAGUUUUGUUGAUCUUUCUCGACUUGUAAUUUCGUUUCGUUUAGGUUAUGUCUUAUAAAAAUAAAUAUUUAUAAGCUUUUGAAUUGAAAUAUACCUUAAUGCAUAUCUGAGUAAUUAAAAAAAUCAGUUUUUUCGUUCCUCGCGAAGAAACAUAAACAGUAUUUGUGAAAUUUGGAUUAGAAACUAUUAUUUUAUUAGUUUAUUUUGUUGUGUUUAAGUGUUGUGUAUUUGUACCUACUGGAUAAUAUUUUCCAACAUAUUUAAUUAAGCAAAAAGCAUCUGUUUUACAGGUGUGACUGCUAAGUGGUCGUACUCGCCACUUUAACCAAGCAUUGGUGGGACCUUCAGAGAUCAUAAUGCGAAUUUCUUCAUACCAUGUAAAUCUAUAUACAUGUAUUAAUAAAUGCGUUUGCUUUA